rnacentral:rRNA from 1 species
GACGAACGCUGGCGGCGUGCCUAAUACAUGCAAGUAGAACGCUGAAGGAGGAGCUUGCUUCUCUGGAUGAGUUGCGAACGGGUGAGUAACGCGUAGGUAACCUGCCUGGUAGCGGGGGAUAACUAUUGGAAACGAUAGCUAAUACCGCAUAAUAGUAGAUGUUGCAUGACAUUUGCUUAAAAGGUGCAAUUGCAUCACUACCAGAUGGACCUGCGUUGUAUUAGCUAGUUGGUGGGGUAACGGCUCACCAAGGCGACGAUACAUAGCCGACCUGAGAGGGGGAUCGGCCACACUGGGACUGAGACACGGCUCAGACUCCUACGGGAGGCAGCAGUAGGGAAUCUUCGGCAAUGGACGGAAGUCUGACCGAGCAACGCCGCGGGAGUGAAGAAGGUUGUCGGAUCGUAAAGCUCUGUUGUAAGAGAAGAACGAGUGUGAGAGUGGAAAGUUCACACUGUGACGGUAUCUUACCAGAAAGGGACGGCUAACUACGUG